rnacentral:rRNA from 1 species
UACAGAGGUCUCAAGCGUUGUUCGGAUUCAUUGGGCGUAAAGGGUGCGUAGGUGGCGCCAUAAGUCAGGUGUGAAAUCUCGGGGCUCAACCCCGAAACUGCAUUUGAUACUGUGGUGCUCGAGUACUGGAGAGGAGAUUGGAAUUUACGGUGUAGCAGUGAAAUGCGUAGAUAAUCGUAAGGAAGACCAGUGGCGAAGGCGAAUCUCUGGACAGUUACUGACACUGAGGCACGAAGGCCAGGGGAGCAAACGGG